ensembl:lncRNA
CUCCCUCCCUUCCUCCCUUCCCUCCCUCCCUUCUUCCCUUCCCUCCUUCAUUCCUUCCCUCCCUCCCUUCCUCCCUUCCCUCCUCCAUUCCACCCCCUUCCCUCCCCCUAUCCUCCCCUCAUCCCUCCCUUCUCUCCUCCCUUCCUCCCUCCCAUAUCAUGCUCUGGUGACUUGCCUGUUGCUAAAUAUCAAUUAUUAUACACUAUUUGUUCAUCUGAAAUGGCACCCUACUCCCUAUAUGGGCCCUGGUCAAAAAGUAGUGCACUACAUAGGGAAUAGUGUUUCAUUUGAGACGCAGACUAUGUUGUUGAGUUUUUAGGAUACUGACUGACUACAAGGGCAUUUUGAUACUGGUCUUCUAUGCAUUUUGUAAGACUCGCAUAUUUAGUUAUUUGCUGUAGGAGUUUUGUUUCACCACGCUAUAGCUAUAUACAGGGCACUCUGACGGUGUGAUAUAGUUUAGUUAGUAGACAGAAUAACAAGAGUUUUGGUAAAUGUACAGAUUAAAAAUGUGUGCCGGGACUUUGGUACAUACACACUUAUGCAUCCAAUAUUUACCUCGUCCUCUCCUGAGCAAUAAAAAAGCCAUUUUUUUCUCACGUCUGCUAGAGUUAUGCAACACGUAGCUUCACAUGAGCUCAAUGAGGUAAAAUAAAAACCUGGGUCGUGUUCAUUAUGCACCAAACGGAAGAAAACGGUCUGAAACGGGGCAGGGGCUAUACCUGAAACGCUAAUUUUUGUUUUUGUGUUUUGCGAAACAUUUUAAAAGGUUGCGUGAAUGAAUGUCCCCGUGCUAGAAGGUAAAGCAUGGAUUGGGCUGGAGUUAUCUUUAAAACAUCCUUUGACUAAAUAAAAAUAAAAAAUGGCAAUGAAUGAACUACUGUAGUUGAUAAAGUAUUACAUUGUAUUUGAUUAUAAAGGGUUUUUAGAGAAUGACCAUUUUAACGUGCUUGUCUGCGCUGACAGACUGGAGCGAAGAGACAUUUUGUCACUGGAAGAUUUGAAGCAAAGCAAGCUAAUCUACUUCUGAUAGGUCAAAACACCACUCCAAACCAUAGACAGUGUAUGUAGCAUUACAUUCUGAUAGGUCAAAACACCACUCCAAACCAUAGACAGUAUAUGUAGCAUUACAUUCUGAUAGGUCAAAACACCACUCCAAACUAUAGACAGUGUUUGUAGCAUUACAUUCUGAUAGGUCAAAACACCAUAGAACAAACACAAUACUGUAUGUAGCAUUACAUUCUGAUAGGUCAAAACACCACUCCAAACCAAAGACAGUGUAUGUAGCAUUACAUUCUGAUAGGUCAAAACACCACUCCAAACUAUAGACAGUGUUUGUAGCAUUACAUUCUGAUAGGUCAAAACACCAUAGAACAAACACAAUACCGUAUGUAGCAUUACAUUCUGAUAGGUCAAAACACCAUAGAACAAACACAAUACUGUAUGUAGCAUUACAUUCUGAUAGGUCAAAACACCAUAGAACAAACACAAUACUGUAUGUAGCACACAGGCAUUUUCAGAGGGACAUUUUGCAUGCAGAACACCAUACUCCAAACCACAAAGGGAUCCGGCAACUGGAGAGAUUAGCCUAUGUACCGCACAGUCAUAUUCAGAUCAUACCUUACUGCUUUCAACAUACAGUUCAUGGGUUCUGUCUCUCUCUCUCUUUCUCUCGCUCUCUCUCUGUCUCUGUCUCUCUCUCUCUCUCUCUCUGUCUGUCUCUCUCUGUCUCUCUCUCUCAAUCUCUGUCUCUCUCUCUCUCAAUCUCUGUCUCUCUCUCAAUCUCUGUCUCUCUCUCAAUCUCUCUCUCUCAAUCUCUCUCUCAAUCUCUCUCACUCUCUCUCAAUCUCUCUCUGUCUCUCUCUCAUUCUCUCUCUCUUUCUGUCUCUCUCUCGCUCGCUCUCUCUCUCUCUCUCUCUCUCUCUCUCUCUCUGUCUGUCUCUCACACCUCACCUGGCACCAGAUAAUUUAGAAUGAUUAUACUGCAGGAUUAAAUCUUGGCUGUGACAGUCAAGAAGAACAACACAAGCCAUCAUGGUGAUGAAAGCAUGGUGUACAUUAUUCUGAGGGUACGUCCCUAUAAUACAUUACCCCCCCCCCCUGAAGUGUACUGUUCCCUCAAAUAUAAAAGCCUUGACUAGCUGAUCAUAACAGAUUAAGUGAUCAUAGUGUUAGGCCUUGUAGUGUUUUUUGUUGUUGUCUAUACUAGCUGAUCAUAGUGAGAUACACCUGCAUUAGCUCCUCCCCCCCAAGCUAAUGCCUAGACUUUAUCUCAGCUGGCUAACACAGAUUCCUGGAGACCCGGAUUGGAACCUACAUGCAGACAGGCGAUCUUUAAAAACCUUUAAAGACCUGUAUAGAUCUUUAUAGCCCUUUUUAGCCAGACUUCAUAGACACAGCGUGCAGAGUAAGUUAGUUAGGAAGAUAUGUUAAGGCAGCGUUUCCCAAACUAGGUCCCUGGGGAACCCAAGGAGUGCACGUUUUUUUUUUUUUCUCCUCUACAAUUACACAGCUGAUUCAAUUCAUCACAGCUUGAUGAUGAGUUGAUUACUUUUUUAAUCAGCUAUGUAGUGCUAGGGCAAAAAAAAAAAAAAAUGGGGUCCCCAGGUCCGAGUUUUGGAAAUCCUUGGUCAAGGAAAACAGACUUUCUACACACCAGAUAUACAGAGCAUUCCUGGAAAGUAUUCAGACCCCUUCCCUUCUUUCCACAUUGUGUUACGUUACAGCCUUAUUCUACAAUGGAUGAAAUAAAACACAUUCCUCAUCAAUCUACACACAAUAUCCCUAUAAUGACAUCACAAUACCCCUAUAAUGACAUCACAAUAUCCCUAUAAUGACAUCACAAUACCCCUAUAAUGACAUCACAAUACCCCUAUAAUGACGAAGCGAAAAUAUAUAUAUAUUUCUGUUAUAUUUGGAAAUGUAUAAAAAAAAAAUUGAAUGCAUCCCAAUUGGCACCCUAGUCCCUACAUGCGGGGACUGCAAUUAUUAUUAUUAUUAUUAUUUUUAAAUGUAACCUUCAUUUAACAACACAAGUCAGUUUUAAGAACAAAAAUUCUUGCAAUAGGAUGUCGUUUGGGACACUGUCAUUGUCUAUGACCCAGUGCCUGCCCAGUGUAUAUAUAAACACAUGUAAUAAUCAGCCCCUGUUAUUGGUCAGUUACACCACAGAUGUACAGGUUUUUAUCUAUUUGUCACUUGUUGUGGUUAAUAAUAUUGUAUUGUUUCUGAAUGCAGCAUUGUGGGAGUUUUUGAACUAUGAGAAAUGAAAAGCACUUACUGAAAUGAAAUGAAAAUAAAGUUAUUAAUAAAAAUAUGUUGUUUUUUUGCGGGGGUGAAUUGUUUCUGUUUUCGUCAUGUGACCUAGUCUGGCUUGACAGACAUACACUGACUAGGAAAACGUUCCCUCCUUAAUGUUACUUUAUUUGAAAUGUAAUACACUGCUUUUGUAGGGCCAUUUGGGGUACAACCUACAUGUGAGCUAUGAAGCCUACUGUACGUGUUGCAGUGUUAAUCUCUGCAGGGCUGGAACAGGCGACAUUAUCCAUUGAGGUAUCAUAUAACUAUAUCCCACAGCAGAUUCCCCC